AGCGGAGUGGAGCAGUUGGCAGCUCGUCGGGCUCAUAAUCCGAAGGUCGUAGGUUCGAAUCCUACCUCCGCAA
rnacentral:tRNA from 1 species